rnacentral:rRNA from 1 species
AUUGAACGCUGGCGGCAGGCCUAACACAUGCAAGUCGAGCGGAGCGGCGGACGGGUGAGUAAUGCAUAGGAAUCUGCCUGGUAGUGGGGGAUAACGUCCGGAAACGGGCGCUAAUACCGCAUACUAUCAGAUGAGCCUAGUUCGGAUUAGCUAGUUGGUGGGGUAAAGGCCUACCAAGGCGACGAUCCGUAACUGGUCUGAGAGGAUGACCAGUCACACUGGAACUUCAACGCGGUCCAGACUCCUACGGGAGUCAGCAGUGGGGAGUAUUGGACAAUUGGCGAAAGCCUUAUCCAGACAUGCCGCGUGUGUGAUGAAGGUCUUCGGAUUGUAAAUCUCUUUAAGUUGGGAGGCGGUACCAACAGAAUAAGCACCGGCUAACUUCGUGCCAGCAGCCGCGGUAAUUC